rnacentral:rRNA from 1 species
UCCAGACUCCUACGGGAGGCAGCAGUGAGGAAUAUUGGUCAAUGGGCUUACGCCUGAACCAGCCAAGUCGCGUGAGGGAAGACUGCCCUAUGGGUUGUAAACCUCUUUUGUCAGGGAGCAACGCCGGCUACGUGUAGCCGGACUGAGAGUACCUGAAGAAAAAGCAUCGGCUAACUCCGUGCCAGCAGCCGCGGUAAUACGUAUGGUGCAAGCGUUAUCCGGAUUUACUGGGUGUAAAGGGAGCGCAGGCGGCGCGUUAAGCCUGGUAUGAAAGCCCGCGGCCCAACCGCGGGACUGCAUUGGGAACUGGCGCGCUGGAGUGCCGGGGGGGUAGGCGGAAUUCCUAGUGUAGCGGUGAAAUGCGUAGACAUUAGGAGGAACACCAGUGGCGAAGGCGGCCUACUGGACGGUGACUGACGCUGAGGCUCGAAAGCGUGGGGAGCAAACAGGAUUAGAUACCCUUGUAC